CUCUUUUAAAUUGCUCUUAAGGAUGUAACAAAGAGUGCACGGGAUGCCCUGAGGGCAGGCACUCAACUUCUGGAGCAGCAGGUUAACUUCUGAAAUUCCUCCAAACCAUGUGUCCACACCUAGUCUGGCUGCAUCCGUGGGCCAGAUGUGGGUGGUGAAUCCUGUAGAUUAGAGGUGUUACUAGGUAGCCCCCAAGUGACUGCAGUGGUGGCUCCACAGGCAGCCUGCAGAGCCCGGCCUGCACCAUGCCAGCUGGGCCUGUGAUGGGGCAUCCAGAGGGUGUUGCCCUGAACACUCAGCAUCUCUCUGCUGGCACAGUGUGCUCAGGCUUUGUUAACAUGGGGCCUGUUGGCUGCAAAGACUCAGGAGUUGAGAGUCUAAUUUUUGGACCUGCUGAUGGUUAAGUUAUAGUGAGUCAGUGUUAAUGCGCAAAGCGUUUGGUGAGUCUGAUGUGCUUCCAUGCUAAGCAGUUAAUGCACUAAGCGUUUGACGAUCCUAAUGUGCUUCCAUGCUAAGCAGCACCAGGUUUCCUUUGCUAAAAUUGAACUCCUAUGAAAAAUUCAGAGUGACUUAAGUUCAACAAAGACUGUGGGAGCCCGAGGCUGGUAAACAAUGAGUCCAUCCCGCAUCCCAGAGGACUCUGGUGGCAGUGCAGUUUUGCCGAGAGGAGUUUUAAUUUAAAAAAAUGCAAUCAGGAGACCAGCAGGUCCUUGAAUGAGUCACCUUCAUUCAGUGCAUCUGCGGACUCAUCAGACACCCCAGGCCAGCUUCGGGUGGGGAACUCACUAGAACGACGUGGCACCUUUGACUAAAUGAGGCCUCCCCCGAGUACUCAGAGUGGCCCAGGCCCCUCUCCUCAGGGGGCUAGCAGGCUUCAGCUCUCAUUUGAAAGGGCUGAUAUCAAGCAGAGUUGUGCUGAGGCUAGAAAGCCCCCAUGGGCAGGUCCUCCCAGGGCUGGGAGUGGGCGUGCCGUGGGGCCGGCGCCGCCAGGACAGGAGGGUGGCCACGAGCUCCAGCUCCACAAUGCCAGGCCGACCCUGCCGUGGGGCUGGGGCUGGGACUUGCUGUGGUCUGCUGGCAGCAGCUGUUCCAUGGGGGUUUCCAGGCUCUUGGAGAUCAGGGACACUCAUUUCUCUUGAUCAUGGCUGAUACAAGCAUCCCUCUCUGUGUCAGGCCCUCUCCAUGGAGAAAGCAUUUCUAGGUGUUUGGGCUGCUGCCUGCAGCCUGUGCCUUUCCUGGGAGGCAGGGCCCAUCCACAGGUGCCCAUCAACACGGCGUCUCCAACACCUGGGCAGCAUAUCGGAUCCCUGAUGUCUAGGGAAGAGUCUUCUAGGUCCCCAGACCCCACCCCUCCUGCCCUUGAUCAAGAGACCAGUUCACUACUCAGAUGCACAUCUCCUUGGUGCCUUGACCAUUCAUGUGACCUUUUUGGCAUCACAGAUCAAGUGUCUGCAGAUGGGUCCAGGGCCCGUAGGUCAGACAUUGCCCUUUUUUCCCAGCCUCAAGCACAGGGGGACACAGGGUGGGCUAGGCCAGAGCGCCACCUCCUCAGAGAGGCCCCUGGGCUCACCACUGAGCAUGAUGAGCCUGGGUGAGGGGAGGCACCUGCUGCAGUUGCCCCGGGUGGAGGCCGCAUGUCUGGUGUCCCUUGGUCGUUGCUGGUCUUCGCCUGGGGGCGGGCUGGUCAGGAGACCGAUUGGGUAACACUCCUGAUUUCGGCUUCUCUGAAACAUGAGAGGAUGCAGUGCUGGAGCCACUGCCCAGGGUCCCUACCUGCACCCCUGCCUGGCUUGUCACAUGCUCUGUGUCCAGCCUGGUCACAGCCUGUCCUUUUCCCCACCUCCCCUCCGUAGGCAAGGUGCCCGGCGACGACUGCCCGCUGGUGUGGGGCCAGUGCUCCCACUGCUUCCACAUGCACUGCAUCCUCAAGUGGCUGCACGCGCAGCAGGUGCAGCAGCACUGCCCCAUGUGCCGCCAGGAAUGGAAGUUCAAGGAGUGAGGCCCGACCUGGUCCUGGCUGGAGGGGCGUCCUGAGACCCCUUCCUCAUGCUGGCGCCGAUGGCUGGGGGGACAGUGCCCCAGGGCUGCAGCAAGGUGGAAACAAGGGCUGGAGCUGCGUUUGUUUUCCCAUCACUAUGUUGACACUUUUAUCCAAUAAGUAAAAACUCAUUAAACUAUUCAAAUCUUG
rnacentral:sRNA from 1 species